rnacentral:rRNA from 1 species
ACGUAGGUGGCAAGCGUUGUCCGGAAUUAUUGGGCGUAAUGCGCGCGCAGGCGGUCCUUUAAGUCUGAUGUGAAAGCCCACGGCUCAACCGUGGAGGGUCAUCGGAAACUGGGGGACUUGAGUGCAGAAGAGGAAAGUGGAAUUCCACGUGUAGCGGUGAAAUGCGUAGAUAUCUGGAGGAACACCGGUGGCGAAGGCGACAUCCUGGACCAAUACUGACGCUGAGUGAGCGAAAGCCAGGGGAGCAAACGGG